UAGGAUGUGACUUGCUCCUCCUUACUUUCCACUAUGAUUGUGAGGCCUCCUCAGCCAUGUGGAACUUUCAUUCACAGACAGCAAAAUGUGUAGUUGCCUCCUUGUCUCCCAGUGAUAAACCCAUGUAAAAUUUUACCAAAAAGAAAAUGGAUAACUGAAAGAAGAAACUGUGAAACGAAGAUAAAAGCACACCAAUGAGUAAAAAAGUGACAAUGCUGGAAAUGAAAUUGGAAGUGAAUAUAAAUCCUGCUCCCUAAACACCAC